rnacentral:rRNA from 1 species
UUAAGUCCCGCACGAGCGCAACCCUUUAUCUUAAUUGCCAGCAUUCAGUUGGGCACUUUAAAGAGACUGCCGGUGUUAAACCGGAGGAAGGUGGGGAUGACGUCAAGUCCUCAUGGCCUUUAUGCUUAGGGCUACACACGUGCUACAAUGGGUGGUACAAAGAGAAGCCAACUCGCGAGAGCGCGCCAAUCUCAAAAAGCCAUCCUCAGUUCGGAUUGCAGGCUGCAACUCGCCUGCAUGAAGUUGGAGUUGCUAGUAAUCGCAGAUCAGAAUGCUGCGGUGAAUGCGUUCCCGGGUCUU